CCCUUAGACGUUCUGGGCCGCACGCGUGCUACACUGAGUGGAUCAGCGGGUCAGGUUGCGCGAAAGCGUUUCCUAAUCUUUAAAUCCGCUCGUGAUGGGGAUUGACGGUUGCAAUUUUCUGUCAUGAACGAGGAAUACCUUGUAAGCGCGGGUCAUCAUCCCGCGCUGAAUACGUCCCUGCCCUUUGUACACACCGCCUGUCGCUCCUACCGAUUGAGUGGUCCGGUGAGGCUUUGGGAUCUGAGCGGAAAGAGCGUUUCGCUGUUUCUGCUCGGAAAACUCAGUCGAACCUUAUCAUUUAGAGGAAGGAGAAGUCGUAACA
rnacentral:rRNA from 1 species